GUUAGCAAUUAAGUAAAACAAAAACAUUUUGUCAACUACCCAAAAAAAUAAUAAUUUAGGCAUCCACCUUCACUCAAAUGAUUUUCAUGCCCAGGAUGUGACCACCAAAACAAAAUAGGGACAACCAUCUUUACUCACAAACCAAUUUUGAGUAGAUCCUGAUUUCAUGAAAAGGACAAAGACGAAAGAAAAAUCAUGCAUAGUUAUGCUAUAACAAGUAAAAAUAGACCCCCAUCCCACCCCAAAAGAAAUAUAGGUUCAAAUUCAACCUAAAGAAUGCAACUGAUACUUCAGAACUAACAAGUGCCUAGAUGAGUUCUUCCUGUACGCCUAAUAUUAACUUGUCCACCAGUGAAACGAUGAAUGAAUCAAGAGAUCUUCUGAAAUGGGGAGCCAUUCCUG
rnacentral:misc_RNA from 1 species